UACGAAGGGUGCAAACGUUGCUCGGAAUUAUUGGGCGUAAAGAGCUCGUAGGCGGUCUGUCGCGUCUGCCGUGAAAACCCGAGGCUUAACCUCGUGGCUUGCGGUGGAUACGGGCAGACUAGAGGUAGGUAGGGGAGAAUGGAAUUCCCGGUGUAGCGGUGAAAUGCGCAGAUAUCGUAAGGAAGACCAGUGGCGAAGGCGGGUCUCUGGACAGUUCCUGACGCUGAGGCACGAAGGCCAGGGGAGCAAACGGG
rnacentral:rRNA from 1 species